UUAAAAUAAUAUAAUAUUAGAGUAGAACUUAAGAGUCAUUGUCGCUAAUUAUUAAUUCAAAAAUUUUAUGUUAUUAAAAAUAUACAAUUAAUUCACCUAAAGCGUACAAUAUAAUUAUUACGAAGUUUAAUUAUGACUCGACCCAACCAAUUUCAUGCCAUUUCGAACACGAUUUGACCCAACUCAAAUUUUUGCUAUUUUGAAUAUAACUCGAUCUAAUCUGUCAUCUCGUUAUAG
rnacentral:lncRNA from 1 species